GGUCAAGUUAAUAAGAGCAUAGGGCGAAUGCCUUGGCACUAGGAGCCGAAGAAGGACGUGGUAAGCUGCGAAAAGCUACGGGGAACUGCAAGCAAGUGUAGAUCCGUAGAUGUCCGAAUGGGGAAACCC
rnacentral:rRNA from 1 species